CUGGUUAAACUCCUGGCGAGAACU
rnacentral:tRNA from 1 species